GUUAGUAAUUUAAAUUUGAUUCUAGAGGAGAUUGGGAGCCAGUGAAGGGACAUACAUAUGGGAGCAGCUGAUGGUGAGUGUUGAGAUAGGCCAUACUGUCACCGUCUGAGUGAAUGUAAAAUCAGUUAAGUACAGGUAUGACCAGUUAUCCGGAAACCUGUCACCCGGAAAGCUCUAAAUUACAAGAAGGUCGUCUCCCAUAGACUCCAUUUUAUCUAAAUUAUCCACAUUUUUGACACUGAUUUCCUUUUUCUGUGUAAUAAUAAAACAGUCGCUUGUACUUGAUCCCAACUAAGAUAUAAUUAAUCCUUAUUAUUAAGUGGGAGAGACUUCAUAUCAAAUGUUCCACCUGGCAAAACUUAAAUGGUCGCUCAGUGAAUUUGGCCAAACUGGGAAUCCCAGAUCUAUAGUAUUGCAUUUUACCAUCAUUUCGACUUAUCAACUGAAUUGUGACCUCUACGAAUGUCUUCUCUCGUCAGUCUGUCCCAAGAAACGACUUUGUUCGUGGCACCACCUUAGAUUCUCUUUCAUUUCCAAACCCGGGCACCGUGAGCUUUUUCAUCAGUCUCUUGAGGUUUCAGUCUUUAGUCGAGCUUUGCCCAAGGCACUGAAACCAAAGUGUUCUGCGGGGGCACGUUUGGCUAAUAUACAGUUGCUUGUGCCAGUGCAGCUGUUACCAAUUUCAUUUGUUUAGCUUGGUGCCUCCAACAGAGUCUGGCUUUCAGAUAUUUCAAGAUUUGUGGCUCCGAUGUUUAAAUGCAUUUGUGGAACUUGCACGGCUCUAAUAUGGGAUUUCUUGUGAUCCCAGUCUCUCUCCUAUUCUGCUACGUGUCUUUGUCCUGCUGCAAGAUACAAUGGUGUAUGAAACGCCAACGAUCGUCGACAUGUUGGUCUUCUCUUCCCUAUUUUAUUGUCCUUGGAGCACUGAGUAAACUCUUCUUCACAUCUUGCCGAUUAUAGAACAUCAAGUUGAGGUCAAGGUCCUCAUGUGAAGGAGAGCAGGUGGCCUCAACAAACGUCCACACUAAGUGGACUGGGGAGAUCAUUUCAUUAAAAACAUAGUUUUAUUGCACUUUUGUUGCAGAGCAAGAACACCGUGAUUAUUCUAGGCAUGAUGGGCCUCUGCUUUCCAAGGUGGGCCUUGCACAGAUGCAUCAAAAGGGACUUCAACGAUAGAGUAGAUUCACAAUCACUCCCAGUCGUCCUGAAUUUCUAAAACCCCGGACGGUCUUUGGAGAUUCUACCUGGUGCCACAAAUCAUUUGAAACUUACAUUUGUGAUGUAGCCAAUUCUACAUCCAUUGGUCUGGGAUAUGGGGCUUCCUUCAUCAACAAACCCUCGUGUUGAACACACUCAUCCAUUCAUUAAGUCAGUCGUUCUUGAGUUGCCCUUGAGACCCUCCACACAGCAAGCUGAUGACGUUUUCAUUGUGUGGCCCGUAUAAAGCUAUUUUUGUUACUCUGGGGAUAUCUUUUGUAUUUUCUGAAAUUCUGUUUAAUGAGGGUACUGUUCAUGGUUUGGAACACCCUGGAAAACCGCUAUUAAAGGGGUAGUUCACCUUUAAGGUAACUUUUAGGGGCCGAUUCACUAACUUCGAGUGAAGGAUUCGAAGUUAAAAAACUUUGAAUUUCGAAGGUUUUUUUGGGCUACUUCGACCAUCGAAUG